UGCAAAUGACCUUUGAUCCGAAGAUUUCCGAAUGGGACAACCCGGCAUUCUGAAGGAAUGUCAUCCAACUUGGUU
rnacentral:rRNA from 1 species